rnacentral:sRNA from 1 species
GAGUUCACCGAGUCGUGCGGGUGAGAGCCUGCGCUCAGGUUCGAGCAUCGCGCAGCGAUACGACAACGCGCAGCGUUGCCGUUGCCCGCAGGGUGAGGCCACAGGCCGAAUCAAUCCUGCACGACCCACCA